rnacentral:rRNA from 1 species
UACGUAGGGUGCGAGCGUUUGUCCGGAAUUAUUGGGCGUAAAGAGCUCGUAGGCGGUUUGUCGCGUCUGCUGUGAAAACCCGAGGCUCAACCUCGGGCCUGCAGUGGGUACGGGCAGACUAGAGUGCGGUAGGGGAGACUGGAAUUCCUGGUGUAGCGGUGAAAUGCGCAGAUAUCAGGAGGAACACCGGUGGCGAAGGCGGGUCUCUGGGCCGAAACUGAACG